AUUGAACGCUGGCGGCAGGCUUAACACAUGCAAGUCGAGCGGGGGAAGGUAGCUUGCUACCGGACCUAGCGGCGGACGGGUGAGUAAUGCUUAGGAAUCUGCCUAUUAGUGGGGGACAACAUCUCGAACGGGAUGCUAAUACCGCAUACGUCCUACGGGAGAAAGCAGGGGAUCUUCGGACCUUGCGCUAAUAGAUGAGCCUAAGUCGGAUUAGCUAGUUGGUGGGGUAAAGGCCUACCAAGGCGACGAGCUGUAGCGGGUCUGAGAGGAUGAUCCGGCACACUGGGACGGCGAAACGGCCCAGAUGCCUACGGGAGGCAGCAGUGGGGAAUAUUGGACAAUGGGGGGAACCCUGAUCCAGCCAUGCCGCGUGUGUGAAGAAGGCCUUAUGGUUGUAAAGCACUUUAAGCGAGGAGGAGGCUACUCUAGUUAAUACCUAGGGAUAGUGGACGUUACUCGCAGAAUAAGCACCGGCUAACUCUGUGCCAGCCGCCGCCGUAA
rnacentral:rRNA from 1 species